rnacentral:rRNA from 1 species
UACGAAGGGUGCUAGCGUUGUUCGGAAUCACUGGGCGUAAAGCGCACGCAGGCGGAUCGAUAAGUCGGGGGUGAAAGCCCGGGGCUCAACCUCGGAAUUGCCUUCGAUACUGUCGGUCUAGAGUCCGGGAUAGGUGAGUGGAAUUCCUAGUGUAGAGGUUAAAUUCGUAGAUAUUAGGAAGAACACCAGUGGCGAAGGCGGCUCACUGGUCCGGUACUGACGCUCAGGUGCGAAAGCGUGGGGAGCAAUCAGG